UAAUAUAUUGCUCUGAUUGAAUCCAUAAAUAAAAGAAGUGGCAAGCACAAGAAAGAAGAAGAGCAGAAGAAAAGUGAUUCAUGUACAUUUAGGACAACAUAAAGCUCAACUUACUUGUCUGUCAUGUGUAGAAUGUCCCACAAAAGACUGACAGCAUCAUAACUUGGACUUAUCUGUAAUGGCUGACAAGCUGCAAAUAGGAAGAGAUAAUUUUUUAGAAGCAGUGCAGUUAAUCCAUCAUUACAAGAUAGAUACUGGACUAUUCCAUGGUUAGCAUACUGGUUGGCGUGUAUGUAUUGGUUAAUAGAGACAAGGUGCAGUAUGUGGCUACAAGCUAGAUGUCAGCCUAAAAGCCCAUCGUGUUUUGCACCCGUUGAAACACAUCCACCACCAACAGCAGCGUGCGUGAAAUGAAGAGGUGACAUGCUCAGGGACUGGAUACUAGCAUUUUACACAGGGAUCCCACUGAAAAAUGGAAUUUUUGGCGAAAAAAUAAGGAAAAUUAAACGGUUUUUGGUCGUUCUUUUUUGCCGAACACAUAACAAAUAAGUAGAGGAGGCUGUUUUAGCACUCUACGGAGGGUAAAACCCUGGGAAAAUGCCAUUUUUAAGCAAAAAAUAAAAAUAUGCUAAUUAGUCACG